UUGGAUGAGAAGAAUGAGCCUCAUUCUGAUUCAACGGCAGAGAUCAAAUAAAAGACUUCUGGUUUUCUUUUUUUUUUUUUUUUUGCCACCAGAUAUGUUUCUGUGCUUACAGAACUGAAAAACACAUAUCAAAGGAGCAUUCCCUUGAAGAGAGAGG
rnacentral:lncRNA from 1 species